rnacentral:rRNA from 1 species
GACGGGGGCCCGCACAAGCGGAGGAACAUGUGGUUUAAUUCGAUGAUACGCGAGGAACCUUUACCUGGGCUUAAAUGUAGAUUGCAUGAGGUGGAAACACUUUCUUCCCUUCGGGGCUAUUUACAAGGUGCUGCAUGGUUGUCGUCAGCUCGUGCCGUGAGGUGUCGGGUUAAGUCCCAUAACGAGCGCAACCCUUACCGUUAGUUGCCAUCGGGUCAAGCCGGGGGACUCUAGCGGGACUGCCACCGUAAGGUGAGAGGAAGGUGGGGAUGACGUCAAAUCAGCACGGCCCUUAUGUCCAGGGCUACACACGUGUUACAAUGGCCGGUACAGAGGGCAGCUACCUGGUGACAGGAUGCUAAUCCCGAAAGCCGGUCCCAGUUCGGAUUGGAGUCUGCAACCCGACUCCAUGAAGUUGGAUUCGCUAGUAAUCGCGCAUCAGCCAUGGCGCGGUGAAUACGUUCCCGGGCCUU